rnacentral:rRNA from 1 species
CCUACGGGGUGCUGCAGUAGGGAAUAUUGCUCAAUGGGGGAAACCCUGAAGCAGCCAAGCCGCGUGGAGGAUGAAGGUUUUAGGAUUUUAAACUCUCUUUGUGAGAGAAGAUAAUGACGGUAUCUCAGGAAUAAGCACCGGCUAACUAUGUGACAGCAGCCGGGGGAAUAUGGGGGGUGCAAGCGUAACUCGGAAUCAAUGGGCGUAAAGCGUGCGCAGGCGGGCUUGUAAGUCAGCUGUGAAAUCAUGUAGCUUAACUACAGAACUGCAUGUGAAACUGUGAGUCUAGAGUGUGGGAGAGGUAGGUGGAAUGCUUGGUGUAGGGGUAAAAUCCGUAGAUAUUAAGAAGAAUACUCAUUGCGAAGGCGACCUACUGGAGGAUAACUGACGCUCAUGCACGAAAGCGUGGGGAGCGAACAGGAUUAGAUACCCGUGUAGUC